UCAGGCUUACUUGUAGUUGGGAAUUUCAUUUACAUUGAAUUUUUUUGUUGUGCGAUUCAACAGUGUCUGAA
rnacentral:tRNA from 1 species